UGAAGCUAUAGUGUGUAAAUUGUAGCUAUUUGUGGAAAAUUUCCGCUUUGUACGGAAAAUUUCAGAUUUAGGGUUUGUAAUUGGGGCUUUUAUAGGGUUGCCAUGGAACACUUGAAUUGGUUUUGUUCAAAGGGUUUUGUGACCUUAAUAAGUUGUAUUGGAUGGCCUAUGACUUGUAAUGGUAAUGGUGGUUGUGUUUGGGAAACAUGGGUGAAUGAUUGUAGGUUGGAAAAUUAAAUCUAUAAGGAGAAAUGCUGUCUAAAUUGUAGGUUCAUAUGUUUUCUUGGGUUUGGGUGCUUUAGGGGUUAAUUGGUGACUCUAGGGUUGUCUAAACCUUUAGCACCAAGUGUACUUUAUAUUAUUUUCAAGUUAUUACGAUUUUGUAAUAGUGAUGUGUGGUUUGGAAUUAUGACUCGUAAUCGAGUCUCAUUGUACUUUCUUGAAUGUUUUAGGGCGUAACGGUGACUCGAGACGCUCGUCAGGUAGAAAUUUGUGAAACUACCUUUGUUUGAUUGGGAUUGGAACACCUUUCGAAAGGCUAUGAUAUUUUGUUGCCGAGUUGAGCUAGGUUAAAUAUUCUUUUAUAUAGCUCUUCAAUGAAUGAAACCCUAAGUGUAUUUUGAUCCAACCUUCUCUUUUGACUUUGUAAAUUUGGAACCACACUUGUAUAAACGUGUUUGUUAACAUUGUAUGUCAUUUUGACUUGUACAUGUCAAAUUUCAAGGUUUAUUUGCUUUG